CAGAAAGCCUAUCCUAUCAGGCCCAGUAAUCCUCCUGCAACAUUCCUAGGAUUAGAUAACUGCCCAGCCCUUGGUUCAUUUACUGACACCCUCUAUAUUAGCACCAGCCCUGGAUGUCUGUCUAUGGUCUCCUCCACAGUAGGCUCAGACAGGACAGGAGCUGUAAUCAGAGAGAAAUCUUUGAUUUUGUUUAUUUUUUCAAUCAGAAAUCAAAAAAGAGAUGGAGCUACUGAGGCCUGCAAUUCUUAUUGUCUUUAUCUCAACAGCAAUCGCAAAACCAUUCAACAGGCCUGGACACCACAAUGGUCCACAGUUCAACAGGCCUGGACACCAUAAUGGUCCACAGUUCAACAGGCCUGGACACCACAAUGGUCCACAGUUCAACAGGCCUGGACACCACAAUGGUCCACAGUUCAACAGGCCUGGACACCACAAUGUUCCACAGUUCAACAGGCCUGGACACCACAAUGUUCCACAGUUCAACAGGCCUGGAUACCACAAUGUUCCACAGUUCAACAGGCCUGGACACCACAAUGUUCCACGAAUCCACGAGUCCUCAGAAUCUGAUGAAUCAAGAAUGACACCAGGACCAACUGCUCCAACCACAGUGAACCCUCCCACUCCUGCCAUGUCAACUAUCCCACCAGUGACAGAAAUGUCCACGAAUGGGCCAAUUGUCAGUGAAAUGACACCGUCACCAGGGAACGUUACUGCACGUGUCACUGAGGACAUUACAACUCCCACUCCAGCAACUCCCCCUUCACCAACUAGAGGAGACAACUAAUAAUGAGAGAAUUCAUGAGAAUGCUUUAUUAUAAUUAUUCAAGAGUUUAUAAAUCAUUGCUUUUUUUAGGUCAUAAUCUGUUUACAGUACCUGCAUUAUAUGAAAUAUCUUUCUUGGCAUUUUAUAUUUGUUUUUUAUGCAGCAGCAUUUAUAGGUAAUGUUAUCGAUAGCUUCAUAAUAACCCUAUCAGAAGCCCUGUAAUCUUUACUAGUUCAACAUAUGGUGGUAGUUACGGGUGUUUGGAUGUCUGUGAACUAGGUGAUCAUAAUCUGCUGGGUGUGAUAUAAACAACUGUGAAUGUUUGAUUGAUUGAUUGAUGUUGCUGUGUUAUGCUCCAGUAUGUCUCUUUACACACAGUAUGUAGUGACUUGCUCUUUGGAGUUUUAGGCUGGUUAUCUGUAAAGUACAUUGAGACAACUGCUGAUUUACAAAAGGGCUUAAUAACAUACAUUUGAUUGAUUGAUUGAUAUUUGUUGUGAACUUGUGUACUCAAUAAAGAGAUAGAAAAAUACUUAAA